rnacentral:rRNA from 1 species
CACGUAGGGGGCGAGCGUUGUCCGGAUUUAUUGGGCGUAAAGAGCUCGUAGGCGGCUCAGUAAGUCAGGUGUGAAAACUCCAGGCUCAACCUGGAGACGCCACCUGAUACUGCUGUGGCUAGAGUCCGGUAGGGGAGCAUGGAAUUCCUGGUGUAGCGGUGAAAUGCGCAGAUAUCAGGAGGAACACCGAUGGCGAAGGCAGCACUCUGGUACAUGACUGACGCUGAGACGCGAAAGCGUGGGUAGCAAACAGG